UAAAAGCCACCUGGUCAUAAAGACUCCUUUACUUGUCUGCACUGAGUGGUCUUUAUAUACAGGUUUGACUUUACUCUUAUGAUACAACUUUUUAGAGAGGCUGCAUUUUUUGCACUUCAAAGGAUUUUAUAUUUUGAGCGUAUGUCCUACGGCAGUGGAGGACAUACCCUUAUACAUGUAUGCAUAUCAAAUAUUCUUGCUUCUAUGUUUUGAUAUGUCAUGUAACAAUAAGGCUUAUUAAAUACAUAAUGGAUGCUCAGGUUUAAAUGAAUUUGAUGUGAUUGAUGCAAGUCUUGAAAUAUCAGGUUAUGUGUUUAGUUCUCUCUUCUUUUUAUACAAAUUUUAAAAUGUUUAAAUUAAUGAAUCAAAAUGAUUAAUAUGCAAAGAUUGUAUAUAUUUUUAGUGAAGAUGGCUCCCAGCUGAUAAACAGUCUUUUGAUAAAUAUAUUCUAUAUUUAAUGAUGUAACAUUUAACAUUGGAUGUUUGGGUUAUCUUUUAGUUGAGACUGAAAUCUUGACCUGAAUUACCGAAUUGGAGACCUGAAGAUCACAAGAUUUAAUUACAAAUCAUUUGUCAGUUUAUUGUUAAAAACAAAUGUAAUUGUUAUGGUAACAUGGUUAUAAAUAUGUGUGUGGUGUAUACAUGUAUAUAAAUAUAUAUAUUCUUUUUUUUGGGGGGGGGGGGGUGGUGAGGGUAAUUAAGAUUACAAUGGAUACAAGAAGUUAGCUUUUAAAUGGUACUACAAGUGUCUCCCAUAUUAAAUAUCAGUCCAUGAUAGACCUCAGCUAAAGCUACAUUUAUAUUUGAUAACGUCAUAGGCUUGAUUUAGCAGAAGUGGAAUUGUGUGUUCACAUUAUUUUGUAAAUUCUAUGUCAAAAUAAUGUAUACAGUUCUGUUUUGGUAUAGUCAUCUUGUGAGUUGGACAAUCAAUGCAAGAUUUUUGUAAUACAAACCUCAAUCAGGCAUGCAGUAUUCUUGAACAUAUAUUUUACAUUUUAAUAAAUCAAAAUGUGUUUAAAAUCCUGAAAUGAUGAGAUUAUGAUAUUAACUUGUUUAGAUAUUUGACUCUUAAGACUGUACUGAUGUGUUGUUAUCUCGUUCUGUCUCUGCAUGAAACAAUUAAUGAUAAAGUUUUUUACCUACAAGUUCUUAGAAGAAGUAUAUGUGUGUAUGGUGUUGAAAUAGUACAAUUACAAGAUCUGAAAUAAAUUAUAUAUUUGUUGAAAAUGGAAUUGAAGUUAGGCAGGUUUUGUAAAGUGUAUAUGAAAAGAGUUAAUAAUUUUUAUCAAGGGCCUGCAUCAAUAAAUGAUGUGAUUGACUAAAUAUAUUAUUAUAUGUUGAUGUGUUCUUCAAAUGUGUGUACACUUGUGAGAUAGAGCUGGCUGUUACAACUUGUGAUUGUAUUUAAUGUAAAGUAUUAGAUUGUUACAUUUCAAGACAUGUAACAUUUUGUAACCAAAGUUUAAGUGAUAUUGUUUAUUUUUAUUGGAACAGAUCUGGUCCACAAAUUUCAUAUGCAAGUAUAUUUUUGUGUGAAAAAUAAUCAAUCAUAUAUACACAAAUCUUGUAAAAAAAGAAAUUUUGAGUAGAUCUUAUAGGGAUAAUUUUCAUGUGUUUAUGAUUGUUUUAAAGUAAUCCAUUAAAUGUAAUUUGUUUGUAGAUUAUGAUGAUGGACAAAGAAUUUGUAUUCUCUAAGAUAUCAAAGUAUCAUGAAAUCAAGCAUUUCAUGUUUUUUUAAAUGUUUCAGCAAUCUUGUCUUAAAGACCUAUCUGUGCCAAAGACGGAACAUAGAAAAAGUAGGUUAACUACUUUAUCAAAGUGACGUAUACAAUUUAUGUUCUUCUUCUUUGUUUACUUAUGUAUUCAUUUUGAAUAGUGUGAACCUGGGCCAUAUUAUAACAUUCCAAUAGUCCCAUUGUAGAGGUUUAUAGGUCUAUAGAUUUUGUAUCUGGGUAUGGUAAAUCGUCAUAUUUGCAUGCCUGUUAUUCAUUUCCAUUUGCCCUUUGAAUAUGAGUUGUGGAUUUAUAGAUGUGCAUUUAUAAACAUUAAGUGAAGGACAUAUCUUAAUUACAAAUUACAUGUAUAUGAAGGUAGGUGUUAAGCUUUUUAGAACGAAAAAAGCAGAAGGAUCCAUUAUGUUCAAAUAUUUUGAUUGUUUGUUUUAUUUUUAUGCACAUGUAUAUGUACAUUCAGCCUACACAAACAUGUGUUUUCGCCUAUGUGUUGUACUUCUACCGGUAUUAGAAGAUUGGACACCUUGAAUUUUUUUUUAAAGAAAGAUUUGUUGUGAAUUUGUUUAGUUGCUUGCCAAUUUUUGUACAGGUAUCAGUACAAUCUUUCAUAACAUUCCAUUUCAUGUUAGUAUUAUUUAUACCUGUCAUUUAUAAAAAGACAUCAGCCAAUGCUAUUUAAAGAUGACAUUGGUAGAUGUGACAUUCUUUUGUACAAAAGAGGGUUGAAAAAAUUAAUUAACCCAUAGCAGUUGUGUCUCUUUCUAGUUAUGUUUUUGCAACACCUUUUGAUCAAGAAUGCUAAGAAUACACAUACAUGAGCA
rnacentral:lncRNA from 1 species